rnacentral:rRNA from 1 species
UACGUAGGGGGCAAGCGUUGUCCGGAUUUAUUGGGCGUAAAGAGCGUGUAGGCGGCCAGGGAGGUCCGUUGUGAAAACUCGAGGCUCAACCUCGAGACGCCGAUGGAAACCCCCUGGCUAGAGUCCGGAAGAGGAGAGUGGAAUUCCUGGUGUAGCGGUGAAAUGCGCAGAUAUCAGGAAGAACACCCGUGGCUAAGGCGGCUCUCUAGUACGGUACUGACGCUGAGACGCGAAAGCGUGGGGAGUGAACAGG